GAACCGUCCAAACGUUAUUCGGAAUCACUGGGCUUAAAGGGUGCGUAGGCGGUCCGGAAAGUUGGGUGUGAAAUCCCUCGGCUCAACCGAGGAAUUGCGCCCAAAACUUCCGGACUCGAGUGAGGCAGAGGUGAGCGGAACUUGCGGUGGAGCGGUGAAAUGCGUUGAUAUCGCAAGGAACACCAGUAGCGAAGGCGGCUCACUGGGCCUUUUCUGACGCUGAGGCACGAAAGCUAGGGUAGCGAACGGGAUUAGAUACCCCGGGUAGUCCUAGCUGUAAACGAUGAGCACUUGGCUGGAGGAGCUUCGGUUCUUCCAGCCGUAGCGAAAGUGUUAAGUGCUCCGCCUGGGGAGUAUGGUCGCAAGGCUG
rnacentral:rRNA from 1 species